GGAAGGAUCAUUACAGAAUUGUCAACGGGUUGUUGCUGGUCCUCGAACGGGGACAUGUGCACGCUCUGUUUACACAUCCACUCACACCUGUGCACCCUCCGUAGUUCUGUGGUCUGGGGGACCCCUGUCCUCCUGCCGUGGUUCUAUGUCUUUACACACACACUGUAAUAAAGUAUUAUGGAAUGCAUGCCGCGUCUAACGCAAUACAAUACAACUUUCAGCAACGGAUCUCUUGGCUCUCGCAUCGAUGAAGAACGCAGCGAAAUGCGAUAAGUAAUGUGAAUUGCAGAAUUCAGUGAAUCAUCGAAUCUUUGAACGCACCUUGCGCCCCUUGGCUAUUCCGAGGGGCAUGCCUGUUUGAGUAUCAUGAACACCUCAACUCUCACGGUUCGCCGUGAUGAGCUUGGACUCUGGGGGUUUUGCUGGCCUGCGGUCGGCUCCCCUCAAAUGAAUCAGCCUCCCAGUGUUUGGUGGCAUCACGGGUGUGAUAAAUAUCUACGCUCGCAGUUGUCCGCCAGGUAACCUUUGGUGACAAAGGUUCGCUGGAGCUCACAGAUGUCUCUCCUCAGCGAGGACAGCUUUUUGAACGUUCGAUCUCAAAUCAGGUAGGACUACCCGCUGAACUUAAGCAUAUCAA
rnacentral:sRNA from 1 species